UACGUAGGGGGCGAGCGUUGUCCGAAGUUACUGGGCGUAAAGCGCGCGUAGGCGGUUCUCUAAGUCCGGGGUGAAAGGUUCAGCGCUCAACGUGAACAGUGCCUUGGAGACUGGGGGACUUGAGUGUGGGAGAGGGCAGUGGAAUUCCUGGUGUAGCGGUGAGAUGCGUAGAUAUCAGGAGGAACACCGAUGGCGAAGGCAGCUGUCUGGCCUAACACUGACGCUGAGGUGCGAAAGCGCGGGGAGCGAACGGG
rnacentral:rRNA from 1 species